GCCCCUGUUGCUCAGUGGAUAGAGCAUUGGCCCAGGGACUGAAGGGUCUUGGGUUCGAUUCCCGGUCAAGGGCA
rnacentral:tRNA from 1 species